GUCAGAAUUCUGAAAAUACAGUGACCACAGAAUCUGCAGCUCCUGAUGACAUUAAAGUCAGCAAACACCGCCCUGGACAUGUUUGUUACCAAAGUGAUUGGGACAUCAGCAAUUCUCAGUCAACACCAGACAGAAAUAAGACUGAGAUGUCUGAUGGAUCUGUCUGUUAUAAACUGAAGGAGGAGGACUUUUGCUCAAGUUUCACUGUGGAUUUCAACUCAAAAAGCUGUGAAACAAUUAAAAUCACCAAAGACAUCACAAUCGAUUUCAUAGAUCCAGCUGAGAUAGAUCAGCCCAAACCAACAAAACGUUCGGGAAAGAUUGAGCCAAAGUUACCUCCAAACUGUAAAAGAUUAACAGUAGAGUACACCUGUUCAGGUGAGCAGACAAUAUAAAUGAAGACUGUGACUCUAGAGUAAUUAUUUUAAUGAUCUUUAAUCUAAAAUUAUGUAGUUUUAGUUCAAGAGGUUUUUGUUCUCUGUGUGAUUCAUUCUUAAAUAAAUUAUUUUCUCUGUAUGUGACCAAGUUUAAUUAAAAUGCAAACAUAUUUUUUUUCCUGCAGAAACCAGAUAUUUUGGAAAACAAAUGAAUCCGUCUGUUCUGGAGACCUACACUAACUACAACUGCACUGGAGAAAUCAAGAAUGAAACCUUUGUUUUUAUCAGAACUCCACCUGUCAUCUUUAACAUUGACUGUGGUACGUGGAUGUUUACUUCAUCACAGUAGAAUGAAAGCACAGAAACAUCUUAUAGACUAUACAAAAAUUACGGUAGAGGUUUCAACAAUUGUAUGUUUGUUUUGUAUUUCUCUCUUCUAUUGGAUUGAUAUAUUAAAUAAUUAAUUCCUUGCUUCCAUGCAACUACAACUUAACUUUUUUGUGUCUUUUGUUUUAAAGGUGACCCUGUAUUUCAUCCUAGAGGAUAUGGAAUAGGUGGGUGAUCAUUUUUACCUUUUACCUGGAGAAUCAUGGUGCUCCCACCGCUCAGUGGGAGCAACGGCUGAAGUUUAAUCAUUUUUUUCUUUUUUUCCUUUUGCUAAAACUUUUACUUUUGGUGACAGAAUCUCGAUGUUUUUGUCUUAAAAGAAAGUUAAAAAUAUUAUUGCUUCCUUUGUUGCCAUUAUAACAUUUCAACAUUUCUGAGCAGGUUCCUACAACAUCAUCAUAAGGAGUGAGUUUCAAUUUAUUUUUUAUUCAAUAAAUCCAAAAUAAAGACAAAGGCAGAUUUAUUAACAUUUAUUUAUUUUAGUGUGUGCAUUCUGUUGUUAUUUAGGGUCUAAUUUUC